AUUGAACGCUGGCGGCAUGCCUUACACAUGCAAGUCGAACGGCAGCACGGGUGCUUGCACCUGGUGGCGAGUGGCGAACGGGUGAGUAAUACAUCGGAACGUACCUUAUCGUGGGGGAUAACGCAGCGAAAGUUGCGCUAAUACCGCAUACGCCCUGAGGGGGAAAGCGGGGGACCGAAAGGCCUCGCGCGAUUAGAGCGGCCGAUGUCUGAUUAGCUUGUUGGUGAGGUAAAAGCUCACCAAGGCGAUGAUCAGUAGCUCGACUGAGAGGACGAUGAGCCACACUGGGACUGAGACACGGCCCAGACUCCUACGGGAGGCAGCAGUGGGGAAUUUUGGACAAUUGGGGCAACCCUGAUCCAGCAAUGCCGCGUGAGUGAAGAAGGCCUUCGGGUUGUAAAGCUCUUUUGUCAGGGAAGAAACAGCAGCUCUAACACAGUCUGCGAAUGACGGUACCUGAAGAAUAAGCACCGGCUAACUACGUGCCAGCCGCCGCCGUAA
rnacentral:rRNA from 1 species